rnacentral:rRNA from 1 species
AUUGAACGCUGGCGGCAGGCCUAACACAUGCAAGUCGAGCGGAGCGGCGGACGGGUGAGUAAUACCUAGGAAUCUGCCUGGUAGUGGGGGAUAACGUUCGGAAACGGACGCUAAUACCGCAUACUAUCAGAUGAGCCUAGGUCGGAUUAGCUAGUUGGUGAGGUAAUGGCUCACCAAGGCUACGAUCCGUAACUGGUCUGAGAGGAUGAUCAGUCACACUGGAACUGAGACACGGUCCAGACUCCUACGGGAGGCAGCAGUGGGGAAUAUUGCACAAUGGGCGGAAGCCUGAUGCAGCGACGCCGCGUGGGGGAUGAAGGCCUUCGGGUUGUAAACUCCUUUCGACAGGGACGCGGUACCUGUAUAAGAAGCACCGGCUAACUACGUGCCAGCAGCCGCGGUAAUAC